GUGCCAGCAGCCGCGGUAAUACAGAGGGUGCGAGCGUUGUCCGGAAUCACUGGGCGUAAAGGGCGCGUAGGUGGCGGGGUAAGCGUGUGGUGAAAGUCCGGGGCUCAACCCCGGAUCGGCCAUGCGAACUGCCCGGCUGGAGCACGGUAGAGGCACAUGGAAUUCCGGGUGUAGCGGUGGAAUGCGUAGAGAUCCGGAAGAACACCGGUGGCGAAGGCGGUGUGCUGGGCCGUUGCUGACACUGAAGCGCGACAGCGUGGGGAGCAAACAGGAUUAGAUACCCUGGUAGUCCACGCCGUAAACGAUGGGCACUAGGUCCUUGGGGGAGCGACCCCGUGAGGGCCGGCGCUAACGCAUUAAGUGCCCCGCCUGGGGAGUACGGCCGCAAGGCUGAA
rnacentral:rRNA from 1 species